UAAGUUUUUUGGCCUUUUGGCUAAAAUCAAAUGUAGCAUAUGUUGUUAUCAAUUUAAUAUCUGAUAUGUUCCCUAUUUGAAAAAGGCAGCUUGGUAGCACAGUGGGUAGAGCACAAGGUCUGGAAUCAGAAAAAUUCAUUUUCCUGAGCUCAAAUUUAGUUCCAGACAUUUAUUAGCUCUGUGAUUCUAGGUGAAUCAC